rnacentral:rRNA from 1 species
GAGCGAACGCUGGCGGCAGGCCUAACACAUGCAAGUCGAACGGCUCUUCGGAGCAGUGGCGGACGGGUGAGUAACGCGUGGGAAUGUGCCCUUUGGUACGGAACAACUGAGGGAAACUUCAGCUAAUACCGUAUGUGCCCUACGGGGGAAAGAUUUAUCGCCAUUGGAGCAGCCCGCGUUGGAUUAGGUAGUUGGUGGGGUAAUGGCCCACCAAGCCGACGAUCCAUAGCUGGUCUGAGAGGAUGAUCAGCCACACUGGGACUGAGACACGGCCCAGACUCCUACGGGAGGCAGCAGUGGGGAAUCUUGCGCAAUGGGCGAAAGCCUGACGCAGCCAUGCCGCGUGUAUGAUGAAGGUCUUAGGAUUGUAAAAUACUUUCACCGGGGAAGAUAAUGACGGUACCCGGAGAAGAAGCCCCGGCUAACUUCGU